rnacentral:rRNA from 1 species
AUUGAACGCUGGCGGCAUGCUUUACACAUGCAAGUCGAACGGUAACAGGCCGCAAGGUGCUGACGAGUGGCGAACGGGUGAGUAAUGCAUCGGAACGUGCCCAGUCGUGGGGGAUAACGCAGCGAAAGCUGUGCUAAUACCGCAUACGAUCUAUGGAUGAAAGCGGGGGACCGUAAGGCCUCGCGCGAUUGGAGCGGCCGAUGUCAGAUUAGGUAGUUGGUGGGGUAAAGGCCUACCAAGCCAACGAUCUGUAGCUGGUCUGAGAGGACGACCAGCCACACUGGGACUGAGACACGGCCCAGACUCCUACGGGAGGCAGCAGUGGGGAAUUUUGGACAAUGGGCGCAAGCCUGAUCCAGCAAUGCCGCGUGCAGGAAGAAGGCCUUCGGGUUGUAAACUGCUUUUGUACGGAACGAAACGGUCUGGGUUAAUACCCUGGACUAAUGACGGUACCGUAAGAAUAAGCACCGGCUAACUACGUGCCAGCAGCCGCGGUAAAAC